rnacentral:ribozyme from 1 species
AGUGGUAAACAAAAAUGUUAACAAAAAAAAUAACAAAAAUCACAUGUUUGUAUAUUUUUUUAUGUUUCUAUAAAUUUUUUGCUUUUGCUUUCG